CUGGACUUGCAAGUCAUGCUUACAUCCCCCCAGUGUGGUCAAUUCCCAGAAGGCCAAGGUGGUCAAUUCCACGGCACAAAUGUGGUCAGAACAAUCAAGAGAGCCAAAAAAGUCAUAUUUGUUCGGAUUAACAACUCAAUCUGGAAACUAUUUAAUAUAAGGUGGAAAAUAGGAUUUCAAAAGAAAAGAAGAAGGAGAAGAACAAGAAAAUGAAACUAAGUUUCAUCAAAGAGGGCAAGUGAGCGAUUAAAAGUAAAUCUCUCAUGCUUUGCUCCCACA
rnacentral:lncRNA from 1 species